UACGUAGGAUGCAAGCGUUGUCCGGAAUUAUUGGGCGUAAAGCGAACGUAGGCGGCUUCUUAAGUUUGGUCUUAAAGACCGGGGCUCAACCCCGGGAAUGGACUGAAUACUGGGAGGCUGGAGGAUGUCAGAGGAAAGUGGAAUUCCCAGUGUAGCGGUGAAAUGCGUAGAUAUUGGGAGGAACACCAGUGGCGAAAGCGAACUUUCUGGGGCAUUCCGUGACGCGUG
rnacentral:rRNA from 1 species